UUCAAAGUACGGAUAUCUUCAGCAAUUGUUGCACUUUCUUUUUUUCUUUACUCUUUCUGCUUCCAGUCACAUGACUUGACCCGAAACUCACUAUUUCUGCCUUGCAGAGCUACUGUCAACACUCAACCACCAUAGUUAUCUACUUUUGAUUUCCCUCCUCCUUCCCUCAAACACUCACCCCACAGUUAUUGAUAUCAAUCAAGCAGAAAUAGGGUUUUUAUUCUCUAACAUUUUGGGGGCAAAAAAUAGAAAACAACAUCCACCACCACCACUAGGGAAGCUGAAAAAUCCCAAAACGCAAAUCACAAUUCAAACCCACAGCAUAGAACAUAAAAAACAUAUAUUCACACACAUUCCUGGAAAUCAGUGGACAUACAAGGACAUUCUAUGGGGAAGCACACAGUAAACGACGUCGAAAAUAAAGCAAAUCAAAACAUGCUAUUUAAAGAUAAGUACUGCUGUCGACAGAUUAGUUCGACAAUAUAAAGAUCAUUCGUCUAAUUAAGGAAAUAGACAAAAAAAUAGGGGGGAAAUUUUCUCACCUGAGAGAGAAUAAAAUAUAGGCGAGAAACCCAGAAAACAUUCACAUAUUGGAGAUUUAUAAGUUCUUCAACAAUCUUUCUCCCUCUCUCUCUAAAUGGGGAUUGAAGGCAAAGAAUAGCGGGAAAAAAAGGUUAAUUCGAAUGAAAAUCAGUAUUGGGAAGGGAACGAAAAGGCCAAAAAUUGAAUGGGAUCGAUGGGAAUUCACAGAAAAGCGGAGGUUUGGUGGUGGAAGAUGGGGGCUCUCUUUGUCACAAUUGAUACAGGAACCACUGCGCUUA
rnacentral:lncRNA from 1 species